UCUGACAGUGACCAGCACUACAGAGUGGAA
rnacentral:piRNA from 1 species